rnacentral:rRNA from 1 species
CAGUAGCCGCGGUAACACGACGGGGGCUAGCGUUGUUCGGAAUUACUGGGCGUAAAGCGCACGUAGGCGGAUCGAUCAGUCAGGGGUGAAAUCCCAGGGCUCAACCCUGGAACUGCCUUUGAUACUGUCGAUCUGGAGUAUGGAAGAGGUGAGUGGAAUUCCGAGUGUAGAGGUGAAAUUCGUAGAUAUUCGGAGGAACACCAGUGGCAAGGCGGCUCACUGGUCCAUUACUGACGCUGAGGUGCGAAAGCGUGGGGAGCAAACAGGAUUAGAUACCCCAGUAGUCCCUGUCUCUUAUACA